rnacentral:lncRNA from 1 species
AGAGGGCUGCAGGGAGCUCCGUCCGCCCGCGGUCAGUGACAACCAGCCGGCGCCGGGCAGCAGCGGAGCUCGGUCCCGGAGGUCCAGACCGGCUCCACGGGUAAGAAUGUGAGGAGCUGAAGCCAGACCCAGUCCCCAGAGGCAGUUUCUGAGCCCCUGCUCCUUGCAGGAAGUGGACAUGGGGAUGUAAGCAGGGAACCUGGCACCAGGAGACUUGGAUGAGAGAGACACUCCUGGCUCAGCACACAGAGCCGGCUCGUGGGGGUUUUUAUGACUAGAUAGUCUGAAAACACAGUUAGCUUCAACUCUGAGUCUCAUCAUGUCCUCUGCAAUUGAGCACUGGUAUAACCACACCUCUUUGUAUACAUGCCUAUUAGCAUAUUAAUCAAAUAACAUAAUAAUAAUAAUAAUAAAUUGUAGUAAAGGG